AUGUACCAUGUGCCGUUGCUCAGGUUAUGUCAUCGUAUUUUAGCUUGGCUUUGUUUACAGUACCUUAGCGGCUGUUGUUGCGAGUAA
rnacentral:rRNA from 1 species